CGGGAUAGUUUAGUGGCGGACGGGUGAGUAACACGUGAGCAACCUACCUUCGAGAGGGGAAUAACGGCUGGAAACGGUCGCUAAUACCGCAUAACAUACUGGGGGGACACCCCUUUGGUAUCAAAGAUUUUAUCGCUCGGAGAUGGGCUCGCGUCCGAUUAGGUAGUUGGUGAGGUAACGGCUCACCAAGCCGACGAUCGGUAGCCGGACUGAGAGGUCGAACGGCCACAUUGGGACUGAGACACGGCCCAGACUCCUACGGAAGGCAGCAG
rnacentral:rRNA from 1 species